CACGAAGGGGGCUAGCGUUGCUCGGAAUCACUGGGCGUAAAGGGUGCGUAGGCGGGUUUUUAAGUCAGAGGUGAAAUCCUGGAGCUCAACUCCAGAACUGCCUUUGAUACUGAGAAUCUUGAGUAUGGGAGAGGUGAGUGGAACUGCGAGUGUAGAGGUGAAAUUCGUAGAUAUUCGCAAGAACACCAGUGGCGAAAGCGACUUCCUGGACCAAUACUGACGCUCAUGUGCGAAAGCGUGGGGAGCAAACAGG
rnacentral:rRNA from 1 species